CAAAUCAAGGGAAAUGAGCUGCACGUGCUGCACUCCAGCCGUAAAUUCAGAUCCAAUGAAUUGAAGUAAUGAUGUAUUUAGUAUAUCCCUUUGAAAUGGUUUUGAAUGCAGACAUGCAAAGCUAGUUCAGUCACCAGCAACAGGAUGAAAUCCUGACUAUUUCAUUACCAAGUGUCGCUGGGGCUUAAAGGAGAAAAAAGACAGCGUGAACAGAAGUGACUCAUGUCAGCUCCUAUGAGUGUCCAUGGAAUGAGCAUUACAUCAUAUUUCACUUCCUGCGCUGCUUCCAGCUAUGUUAAGAGAGCUCUGAAGCAUUUUGUUGUCUCCCAUGAAGGUCAGGAGGGAGAGGGCUGAUCUAAUAUCCAUGAGGAGGGAGUUCCAUAGCCGAGGAGCCACCACCAAGAAGGCCCUGUCUCUUGUCCCUAUCAGUCACGCCUGCCAAGAGGGUGGGAUCAAGAGCAGGGCCUCCCAGGAUGAUCUUAAUCUCCAAGAUGGUUCAUAGGAGGUGAUACAUUCAGACAGAUACUUCACAGCAAGUCUCCUGAUCCGCAAGACUGGGAUUGCAAUACAAGAUCAUGUGACCAAGUUCAAUCUGUUUAGUGAACACAUGGAUGCUAUCAGCUGUGUUAGACAAGCAAUACUGAAACACCUGAAACUGCCUUAGCCACAUUCAACAAAGAGUUUAAUAGCUUUCACUAUUUAAAUCUCCCUAAUUCUGUUUGAACUGUGUCCAUAAACUUUUAAAACAUGAAA